AAUUAAAUAUCGAAUGACGAAAUAAUUCCCCUUAAAACCCAACUCAGUUAUUUUGCCUGAAACUGCAUGUCCUGAUUUUACUAUUUUGGAUUCUCUUCUUAUGCUUUUAUGUGGGUAUAUAAUGUUAUGAAACUUGUACAGUUUGUUCAGACCAGAACUACAGAGGAAGACAUGAUGGAACCAAGAUGCUGGCUGAAGCAUGGGCUUUGGAAUCAGACAGAAUCUGGAUUCACCACUUAUUGAUCGGGUAAUCUUGAACAAGGAUGGCAGAAGGAACAGAGAAGAAGGCAGUGCAUGGCUAACUGGAAGUGUGGCAGGAAGAG